GGACAAAUAGCCAAACGGUAAGGCAUAAGACUGCAACUCUUUGAUUGUGGGUUCAAUUCCCGCUUUGUCCUCCA
rnacentral:tRNA from 1 species